GAGGGUAUAGCUCAGUGGUAGAGCAUAUGCUUAGCAUGCACAAGGUCCUGGGUUCAAUCCCCAGAGCCUCU
rnacentral:tRNA from 1 species